rnacentral:lncRNA from 1 species
GUACAAUGAAAAAUGGAAAUAUUAUCUCAGAAAUUACAACUGAGAGGGAUGAAGAUAUAGCAUAUGCUAUACCUAAAAGAUACAUCAAAUGGGAUAUUGGGAAUAUGGAUUGAUGAAAUUUAAUUUACGAUUGUCCUAUAACGCCUUUUCAUUACAGUACCACACAAAUUGAGGCAAUAAGUGCACAUUUGAUCAAAAAA